rnacentral:rRNA from 1 species
AUUGAACGCUAGCGGGAUGCCUUACACAUGCAAGUCGAACGAGUGGCGAACGGGCGAGUAAUGAAUCGGAAGGUGCCCAGUAGCGGGGGAGAACUACCGGAAAGGGUAGCUAAUACCGCAUACCAUCAGAUGUGCCCAGAGGGGAUGAGCUAGCAGGUGGGGUAAUGGCUCACCUAGGCGAGGAUCCCUAGCUGGUCUGAGAGGAUGACCAGCCACACUGGAACUGAGACACGGUCCAGACUCCUACGGGAGGCAGCAGUGGGGAAUAUUGCACAAUGGGCGCAAGCCGGAUGCAGCCAUGCCGCGUGUGUGAAGAAGGCCUUCGGGUUGUAAAGCACUUUCAGCGAGGAGGCGUUACUCGCAGAAGAAGCACCGGCUAACUCCGUGUCAGCAGCCGCGGUAAUAC